UCCCUGGAUGACUAGUGGUUAGGCCACAGCGCUCUCACCGCCGCAGCCCGGGUUCGAUUCCUGACCAGGGAA
rnacentral:tRNA from 1 species